ACAAUGUGUCAAUUGCUGAAUCAUGAGGUUCGUUUUUGUUAAUAAUCCCUGUGAAUUACGUAUUAUCGAGUGAUAUGCGGGCGUAUCAUGUAGGCACGGUUUUGUUGAGAUAAAGUUGCUCAUCUUGGAGCAUGACAUGAUUCUGGUCGGUCGGUCCCCUACUACCUAGUAUCUAGACUGAUGUUUAGCACUUGUUUGCACUUAAGCACUUUAUGUAAACAAAAAGGAAGAAGCACUUAAGUUGACUGUAAUGGAUUGAUCAUGUCCUAUUAAGGAAGAAAGAAAAAUCACUUUUCGAAGGCUGAGAGCAUUCAAAGCUUUACAUUAAUUUGUGUUUCGACCAUGUGUGCAUUGGAGGAAUUGCUCAGUGCUGAUAAAAAAUUUUUGAAAGUUUCUGACAAUUGAUUUUCACAUUAUACAUAUCCAACAUUAGCUCAUAAAUACAAUAAAAUACAAUUUUUCUCUUAAUCAAUCGAUUAUUGAUUCUAGAUGUCAUCCGCAACAUUAAUUAAUAUGAUCAAUAAGAAUUUGUGAAGGCCAUCCUUAAAAUACCGGGGAGAUGCACGUUCUAAAGUGGAUGAAACUCGUGAAAAUAAUGAAGUUCAAAGAACUGGCUCCUUAUGAGCCAGGUUGAUUACGUCAGAUGCAAUGGCACCCAUCUCUGUCCCUUCUGCAAAUGACAAUUGGUGUUGCAUACAAGAUGCUUCAAAGUUUGGUCGAAAAGAUACCUCCUGAUGGAUGCAAACUGAAUAGUCCGGAGUGUAAAGACUUUGAAUAGCUAUCGACUUGUUCUUUUUCUACACUCCAGGAUUGAAUGGAAUUCUUGCACAGUUCAUCUUUUUUUUUCUUUUUAUAUCGAAAAAGAAAAGAUAAAGAAGUUCAAUUUCUUAGAGAGAAAGAGUAAACCUACAUAAUACAUAAAUUAAAUUAAAAAAUAAAAAACAGCGUAGAUUUCAAGAAACGAUCUCAAUUUAAUGUCAUAUAUUUCUAUAAUAAAGUUAAAUACACAAUCUCUAAA
rnacentral:lncRNA from 13 species